CUUGCCUACGGGGGGCAGCAGUGGGGAAUAUUGCACAAUGGGGGAAACCCUGAUGCAGCGACGCCGCGUGAGUGAGGAAGUAUUUCGGUAUGUAAAGCUUUAUCAGCAGGGAAGAAAAUGACGGUACCUGACUAAGAAGCCCCGGCUAACUACGUGCCAGCAGCCGCGGUAAUACGUAGGGGGCAAGCGUUAUCCGGAUUUACUGGGUGUAAAGGGAGCGUAGACGGAAUGGCAAGUCUGAUGUGAAAACCCGGGGCUCAACUCCGGGGGUGCGUUGGAAACUGUUGAUCUAGAGUGUCGGAGAG
rnacentral:rRNA from 1 species